AGGUCGACGGUACUUCUGGGGUAGGGGUGAAAUCCUAUAAUCCCGGGAGGACCACCAGUGGCGAAGGCUGUCGACUAGAACGCGCUCGACGGUGAGGGACGAAAGCUGGGGGAGCGAACCGGAUUAGAUACCCGGGUAGUCCCAGCUGUAAACGAUGCGGGCUAGGUGUUGGGGUGGCUACGUGCCACUUCAGUGCCGCAGGGAAGCCAUUAAGCCCGCCGCCUGGGGAGUACGGCCGCAAGGCUGAAACUUAAAGGAAUUGGCGGGGGAGCACCACAAGGCGUGAAGCUUGCGGUUCAAUUGGAGUCAACGCCGGGAACCUUACCGGGGGCGACAGCAGAAUGAGAGCCAGAUUGAAGGACUUGCUGGACAAGCUGAGAGGAGGUGCAUGGCCGUCGCCAGUUCGUGCCGUGAGGUGUCCUGUUAAGUCAGGCAACGAUCGAGACCCGCACCACUAGUUGCUACUGAGGAAGUUUUCCAAGGGGCACUCUAGUGGGACUGCCGUCGAUAAGACGGAGGAAGGAGCGGGCCACGGCAGGUCAGUAUGCCCCGAAUCCCCCGGGCUACACGCGAGCUGCAAUGGCAGGGACAAUGGGUCCCGACCUUGAAAAAGGAAGGCAAUCUCUAAACCCUGCCUCAGUUUGGAUCGAAGGCUGGAACCCGCCUUCGUGAAAAUGGAAUGCCUAGUAAUCGCGCGUCAUCAACGCGCGGUGAAUACGUCCCCGCUCCUUGCACACACCGCCCGUCGCUCCAUCCGAGUGGGGUUUGGGUGAGGCGUGGUCUUUUUGGCUGCGUCGAAUCUGAGUUCCGCAAGGAGGGAG
rnacentral:rRNA from 1 species